rnacentral:lncRNA from 1 species
CUGCUGUUGAAAAAAAGUCAAGAAACAAAACUGAUGUCACGUCGUGAGCAUGGUUAAUAAAGUGUGCAUUUAGUAAAGGAGUCUGUUCACGCAAAGUGUCCUUUUGUUUCUCGAUUCCUCAAUCUGUGUUAUCCCACCGGUGUCCCGUCCACCUACACGUGGUUGAAACAGUGAAACAGUCCAGAGAAAACCUUGUUGGAAUAGGUUGCGAAGUACAAAUACGAACACAAACUGAAUACAAACUGUAGACAGUGAAGUACUCAAAUGUUCAGUGGCAGCAACACAGGAGUAGAUGAAUUGCCAGACAAUAUGUUCUACCAAUCAACAUGGAAAUUAACAUGGAUAAAAAUUUUCACAUCAUACAAAGUAUGACUGUUGAAAAAUAUGCUAGACAGUGAAAAGUACAUCAACAUUAGUGUCGAAAAGCGUUGGUUAGUCCAGGUAAAUUGCAGGUUGGCUUUGCCUACAUGUUCCAGGUUUGCAACAAAGUUUUUUCAAGUGCUGAGUGGGGUCGGUGGGGUGGGGUGUUAUGAAACUUAAAGACCAGAUAAAAUGAAAAGUCAACCUUCUUGAUUAUCCAAUAAUCAAGCUGAAGUUUUCAUGUGGCAUAGGUGCUUUUGGCCCAAUCCAAUAAGCUAAGCUGUGUCUUACAAAUCUAAGGAAAUCCUAUUUGCAAGGUUUAACAUCAGGAUCAAGUCAAAACUUCUUUGAUUGCUUUCUAUGUGCGCAUGGUUUUGUUGCAGUCAGCUGGUGAAAGGUGUAAUCUUGUAAAGUUGAGCUGUUGCAUGCAGUGGAUGUGUGCAUGGUGCUGGUCUGGUCUGGUCUGGUGUUACCUUUGGGAGUUCAUGGUCAGUGAUGUUUGAGCUGUUUUUGGUGUUGCUGUUUGGUGAACAGUGGUUUUGCAGUCCCUUUCCAGUUGAGAGAUGCUCUGAAAUGGAACUUGUGCAGACUUGUAGUUCAACAUCACACUUAAAUGUGUCAUUUGUCUAUGUUGGUGUCCAUGCAGUAUAUGCAGUGUUGAACAGUUGGGGUAAAAUAGUCUAUGCUGCCUGAUGGCUGUCGCCUGUCGGUCUUAUUUUAUCGGUUGCAUUUUGUCGAUAUGUCGUCUCUUGCUACCUCUGCCGGCGUUGAGUUGAAACGUUAGCCGCCGUUCCUUAGACUUGAUUCACCGGUGAAACUAAGAAGACGUAGCUGAAAUUCAAGAUUGAUCAAUAAAUUAUGUAGAUAAAUUACACGUGCAUAAUCUGGGUUCCCUUCUUCAGUGGCCCCGUUCCCCUAACUAACCAAUAACCAACGCCCGCCAGUGGUCACUCACUCGCUGCGACAACCAGGAGGGAGAUGUCUGUCGAACGGGGACUUGCUAGGCGCAUGAUUCGAUUAAAUCUGUUGGAGGGUCAUGAGUCUAAGCCGGAAGCCUACUAUGAUGCAUUUCUCUCAUGAUAACUGCUCCUCGGCUCUCUUCGCUCUUUUUCCGGUUUCUCUUAACCAUGGCCGGGUAAUCUCCCUGGUCGAGUCAGUCGGGCAGUGUCUUCCCCUGCUUGACUGGCUGCAGUUUGAAUCGGACGGUCUGUUAAAAUAAGAAUUUAAAUCUAGAACAACGCUUCCUUUGAGCGGCCCGGACAAUCCUGAACCCUUUAGGGUUGCUAUUCCAUCGAGGCUUAAACGAGGAUGACGCGGAGGUGUUGCCCAUUGAGGGGUUUUGGUGACAAGGAGUCACUGAACGAAACGCCAAACCAAAUGAAGAAAAAACAUUAAAAAAGACCCAUCCCCAGCAACGUCAUCCUGCAGAAAGAAAAAGGCCAUUUCUAUGGCCUUCAGAUUCGAAGAUCGCGGAGAUAAUUACGUAAAACUGGCAUGGGGUGGCGUAGAGGUUGGGUGAGAAUGGCACGUUUUUCAACAUUAUCAAGCAGACCCAUCCCCAGCAACGUCUACCUAAAGAAGGAAAGGCCAGUUUGCAUUUCAAUCGA